AAAUAGAACUUUGUAGAGAGAGUUAACAGGGCGUGAAACCGUUAAUUGGCAAACGAAUCGGAGCCACGAAGUCGUUUCGUUGUAGAUUUUAAUUCGAUUCAGCUUUAUAGUCGAAAAAAAAAAACUAUAGAGUGUAUUUCGAGAUUAAAACAUCAUUGUAAGCGUACACUGCAACCAGUUAGACAAAUGGUUAUGGAAAUAGUUUAUAGAAUCUUCGGGUUAUAUGAACAAAAAAUUUGUUUGUUUAUAUUAGUAGUAGUGUAGUAUUCUUCGCGGGAUAUUUAUGUUGCUGAAUAUAUAACAAGUGAUCUAUAACCAUAUACUGACUGGCAAAAUGAAAAUCACUUCAUGUAUAAGUGUUUUAUAAAAUGCUGUUUGUUGUAUACAGGUUUACUUGCUUGACCAUUGGGUUUAAGCUCAACAUUUUUGAAUUUGGACUUGCUAGCUAUCAAUGGGGCAACUCUUGAUGCUAGUAUAGCCUCCAUCUAAUCGGGUGUUGACUUGGCUGGAUGUUGUUCAAAUAAGAAUCGUUUGAGCAUGUAUGCAAUCAAAUUAGCCAUUUAUUGGCAGUGAGUAGGUCGGCUUUCCGAACGACCCGUCUUGAAACACGGACCAAGGAGUCUAAUUAGGCAUCGAGUCGAUCGGUCUUGAUAGGCCAGAAUGUAUUGUUUCGACAAUUAAUUGAAGGCGUAGAGAAAUCAAAUCAUGUGAUCAUUUAGUAAUAACUAAUACUAUUUGCGCAACAUGUGCCUGUUCGUAUAACAAUGUUGAAAGACUUGUUGAGCGGAGUAAAGAGAUACUUGAUUGGUACCCGAAAGAUGGUGAACUAUGCCUGGGCAAAUUGAAGCCAGAGGAAACUCUGGUGGAGGAUUGUAGCGAUUCUGACGUGCAAAUCGAUCGUCAGACCUGGGUAUAGGGGCGAAAGACUAAUCGAACCAUC
rnacentral:rRNA from 1 species